CCCUGCCCUGUCACCUGUUCUCCCAAAGUCACCUCCUCUGCCUUCCUCUCCUCCAGGGCCGAGCUCUCCAGCCCUAAGAAACAUGACAGUCACCCAGCGGACGUGUUACACGCGCAAAUUCCUGGCUCGACUCCAGAGAUUCUCGGAGUGUCUGGGGCAGGGGCGCAGGCAUCUGCGUGACUCCGAAGUACCCUAGUGGUCGUUUCUGGCAAGAGUGUUUAUUAACGGCCUGGCAGGUGCCAGGUCCUGCACUAGGCACAGAGAUAAAACAGUGAACGACAGAUCUGAUCGUGCCCCCAUGGAAUUUACAUUCUAACAAAGGAAAACAGACCAUGGCAUAACUACUGGUUGUGGGCUCCUUCUGCUGAGGCACAGAUACGGAAAGCUUUCUGAGGGCUUGGCAGUGGCUUCCGAGCCCACACUACUUCAUCUUCACUAAGGAGGUGGCCAAGAAGCAUCUCCAGCUGCUGAAAGGAGUCUGCCUAGGCCAGACAGGCUGCUCUGGUGCUUGAGCUCACGUUCCCUGUUCCACGUGCUCUCCUGUAUCUGGGAUACCCUGGCCUUGCAGCAGGAACCUGUCCACUGCUUAAUUACUAAUAUUCGCUUAAAGUACAGCUCUCAAUCCCUUUUCCAUCUCCCUGCCUUUUCACAUACUUUCUUUCUUUAUUGAAGUAUGGUUGAAUUAUAAUGUGUUAAUUUCUUCUGUACAGCAAAGUGAUUCAGUUUUUUACAUGUAUACAUUCUUUUCCAUUGUGGUUUAUCACAGGAUAUUGAAUAUAGUUCUUGGUGCUCUAUAGUAGGACCUUGUUGUUCUCUGUUCUAUAUAUACCAGUUUGCAUCUGCGAAUCCCAGACUGCCAAUCCAAUCCUCUCCCAGCUCCCUCCUCCUUGGCAACCACCAGUAUGUUCUCUAUGUUCUUGAUACUGUUUCACAGACAGGUUCAUUUGUGUUAUCUUUUAGAUCCCACAUAUAAGUGAUAUCAUAUGGUAUUUGUCUCUCUCUUUUUGAUUUACUUCACUUAAUAUGAAAAUCUUUAGCUGCAUCCAUUCAUAUAAUUUCCUUUUUUUCUGAUAAAUAGGAGGUUUUAAUGUAUAAAAAGUGAAUUAAGCAGCUCCUGGGACACAUAUAAUUUCUUGAUUCUGCUUUUCUUUGUGUUCAUAAUUAUCUUUCUCCAGGUGUCAACUGCCAUUCUCUGCUUCUCCCUGCAUAUUCCCUUGGUUCAAAACACUGCCCUAAUCCAAGACUGAAAUUGAGAAAACAAUUCCAUUUACAAGAGUAUUAAAAAAAGAAAAAAUACUUAAGAAUAAAUUUAACCAAGGACAUCUAGCACAUGUACACUGAAAAAAACAGAACACUGAAAUUAAAGAAGAUCCAAUUAAAUGGAAAGACAUUCUGUGUUCAUGAGUUGGAAUAUUUAAUAUUGUUAAGAUGGUAAAACUGCCCAGAUGAAUAUGCAGAUUCAGUGCAAUCCCUAUCAAAUCCUCUUUGCAGAAAUGGAAAAGUUCAGCCUAAAAUUCAAAAUGAAAAUGCUAGAGGCCUUGAAUAGCCAAAACUACUUCUUUGUUCUUUAAAAAGAGGAACAAAGUUGGAAGAUUCGCACUUCCUGAUUUCAAAACUCACUACAAAUUUACAGUAUCCAAAACAAUGUGGUACUGACAAAAAGGCAGACCUAUAGAUCGAUGGGAGAAAAUUGAAAGUCCAGAAAUAAACCUAUGCAUCUGUGGUCUGCUGAUUUCUCACAGGGUUUCUAUGACCAUUGAAUGGAAGAAAGAAUAGACUUUUCAACAAAUGGGACCAGAACAACUGGAUAUCCACAUGCAAAAGAAUGAAUCCAGAUGUCUACCUCACACCAUAUACAGAAAUUAACUUAAAAUGUAUCAAUGAACUAAAUAUAAAUCUCUCAAGGGAAAAUAGGUAUAAAUUUUCAUGACAUUAGAUUAGGCAAUAGUUUCUUAAAUAUGACCCCAAAAGCAAAAACAACAACAUAAAAAUAAAGUGCACUUUAUAAAAAUUAAAAACUUUCAUGCAUCAAAGGACAUUAUCAAAAAAGUGAAAAGACAAUCCACAGAAUGGGAGAGAUACUUGAAAAUCACAUAUCUGAUAAAGAUCUAGUAUCUAGAAUGUAAAAAGAAUUCCUAUAAUUGGACACCAAAAAGAUAAGCAACACAAUUUAAAAAAAGGACACAGGAAUUUGAAUAAACAUUUCUCCCAAGAGGAUAUGUAUAUGACCAAUAAACAUGUGAAAAGAUUCUCAACAUCAGUAGUCAUUAGGGAAAUGCAAAUUAAAACCACAGUGAGCUAUCACUUCAUAUCCACUGGCAUGGCAAUAAUAAUUACAAAAACAGUAACAACAGUCAAGUAAGUGUUGGUGAGGACAUUGAGAAAUUGGAACUGUCACACACGGUGGGGAUGUAAAUGGUGCUGUGCGUGUGUGUUGAGUCACUCAGUCAUGUCCGACUCUGCGACCCUAUGGACUUGUAGCCCACUGGACUCCUCUGUCCAUGGGAUUCUCCAGGCAAGAAUACUGGAGUGGGUUGCCAUUCCCUUCUCCAGGGGAAUCUUUCCAAUCCAGGGACUGAACCCGGGUCUCCUGCAUUGCAGGAGGAUUCCUUACUGUCUGAGCCACUAGGGAACCCCAAAAUGGUGCUGCCAUUGUGGAAAUUAUUUUGGUAGUACCUUAAGAAGUUAAACACAAGAGUUACCAUAUGGCCCAGCAACUCCACUGCUAAGUAUAUGUUCACAGUAAAACGUGAAUACAAAUAUUCACAGCAGCAUUAUUCAUAAAGUCAAAAUUAAAAACAGCCCAAACAUCCAUGACUGGAUGAAUGGAAUAAACCCAAUGUCAUAUAUCUACAAAAUGGAAUACUAACAACCAUCAAUAGAUAUGGAAUACUGAUACAUGUUGCAACAUGGAUGAGUCUGGAAAACAUUAUGCCAAGUGAAAGAAGCCAGAUACAAAAGACCAUGUUUUGUAUAAUCCUAUUUAUGUGAAAUCUCUAGAACAAGUCUAUACAAAAGUCUAUACAGACAGAAAGUAAAUUAAUGAUUACCUAGCACUGUGAGAGGGGAGAAUUGGGAGUGACAGCUCAUGGGUGUGGAGUUCUUUUUGGCUGGUGGAAAUGAUCUGGAAUUAUACAGUGAUUAUGACUGCACAACAUGAAUGUACUAGAACCUCUCAAAUUGCACACUUUAAAAUGGCUGAAAGAGGCACAAACUUCCAGUUACAAAAUGAAUGAGUCACACGUAUGAAAUGUACAGUGUGAGGGAUAUAGUCAAUAGUUAUGUAAUAUCUUUGUAUGGAGACAGAUGGUAACUAGACCUGCUGUGGUCAUUUUGUAGAGAAAUACUGAAUCGCUAUGUUGUGUAAUAGGAACUAACACAGUGUUGUAGGUUAAUUAUACUUCAAAAACAAACUCAAAGAAAAAAAAGACCAGAUUGGUGGUUACCAGAGGCAGGGAUGGAGGUAGUCAAAAGGUACAAAAUUCCAUUUGUAAGAUAAAAAAGUACUAGGGCUGUAAGGUACAACAUGAUUAAUAUAAUUAACACCGUUGUAUGUCCCAUUUGAAAGCUGCUAUUAAAGAGUAAAUCCUGAGUUCUCAUGAUAAGGAUAAAUUCUUUUUCUACUUCUUUUUUAAUUUAUAUGCAGUGAUGGAUGUUCACUCAAUUUGUUGUGGGAAUCAUUCCAUGAUGUAUAUAAGUCAAAUCAUUAUGCUGUACACCUUAAGCUUCUGUCAAUUAUAUCUCA